rnacentral:rRNA from 1 species
GCCAGACUCCUACGGGAGGCAGCAGUGAGGAAUAUUGGUCAAUGGCCGCAGGGCUGAACCAGCCAAGUCGCGUGAGGGAAGACGGUCCUACGGAUUGUAAACCUCUUUUGCCGGGGAGCAACGGGGUCCUUGCGAGGGCCCGAUGAGAGUACCCGGAGAAAAAGCAUCGGCUAACUCCGUGCCAGCAGCCGCGGUAAUACGGAGGAUGCGAGCGUUAUCCGGAUUUAUUGGGUUUAAAGGGUGCGCAGGCGGGAGAUCAAGUCAGCGGUAAAAUGUCGGGGCUCAACCCCGGCCGGCCGUUGAAACUGGUUUUCUAGAGUUGGAGAGAAGUAUGCGGAAUUCGUGGUGUAGCGGUGAAAUGCAUAGAUAUCACGAAGAACUCCGAUUGCGAAGGCAGCAUACCGGCUCCAUACUGACGCUGAGGCACGAAAGCGUGGGGAUCGAACAGGAUUAGAUACCCCUGUAAAG